rnacentral:tRNA from 1 species
GACUACGUAGCUCAGUUGGAAGAGCAUUGGGCUAGUAUUCCAAAGGUCGUAGGUUCGAAUCCCACCGUGGCCG